rnacentral:rRNA from 1 species
GACGAACGCUGGCGGCGUGCCUAACACAUGCAAGUCGAGCGGGGUUGAAGCGAGAGGUAACUCGAGUUUCUACCUAGCGGCGGACGGGUGAGUAACGCGUGGGCAACCUGCCUCAAGGUCUGGGAUAACAGCCCGAAAGGGCUGCUAAUACCGGGUAUGCUUGUGGCCUCGCAUGGGGCUAUGAGCAAAGGGGAAACCCGCCUUGAGAUGGGCCCGCGUCCCAUCAGCUAGUUGGUGAGGUAACAGCUCACCAAGGCGACGACGGGUAGCCGGCCUGAGAGGGUGACCGGCCACACUGGGACUGAGACACGGCCCAGACUCCUACGGGGGGCAGCAGUGGGGGAUCUUGCACAAUGGGCGAAAGCCUGAUGCAGCGACGCCGCGUGAGCGAAGAAGGCCUUCGGUUGUAAAGCUCUGUCUGGAGGGACGAAGGAAGUAGACGGUACCUCCGGAGGAAGCCACGGCUAACUACGUGCCAGCAGCCGCGGUAACACGAGAGUA